AUUUUCACCGAAGCUUGCUUCACCGAAAAUCACCACUUACGAACGGGUGAGUAACGCGUGGGUAACCUACCUAUCCUUUGGGGAUAACUAUUGGAAACGAUAGCUAAUACCGCAUAACAAUGUUGGAUGCAUAUUCGACAUUUGAAAGUACCAACUGGUACACUGAGAGAUGGACCCGCGUUGUAUUAGCUAGUUGGUAGUGUAAUGGACUACCAAGGCGAUGAUACAUAGCCGACCUGAGAGGGUGAUCGGCCACAUUGGGACUGAGACACGGCCCAAACUCCUACGGGAGGCAGCAGUAGGGAAUCUUCGGCAAUGGACGAAAGUCUGACCGAGCAACGCCGCGUGAGUGAAGAAGGUUUUCGGAUCGUAAAACUCUGUUGUUAGAGAAGAACGUUGCAUAGAGUGGAAAAUUAUGCAAGUGACGGUAUCUAACCAGAAAGGGACGGCUAGCUACGUGCCAGCAGCCGCGGUAAUACGUAGGUCCCGAGCGUUGUCCGGAUUUAUUGGGCGUAAAGCGAGCGCAGGUGGUUUAAUAAGUCUGAUGUAAAAGGCAGUGGCUCAACCAUUGUGUGCAUUGGAAACUGUUAGACUUGAGUGCAGUAGAGGAGAGUGGAAUUCCAUGUGUAGCGGUGAAAUGCGUAGAUAUAUGGAGGAACACCGGUGGCGAAAGCGGCUCUCUGGACUGUCACCGACACUGAGGCU
rnacentral:rRNA from 1 species